rnacentral:rRNA from 1 species
GACGAACGCUGGCGGCGUGCUUAACACAUGCAAGUCGAACGGAAAGGCCCUGCUUUUGUGGGGUGCUCGAGUGGCGAACGGGUGAGUAACACGUGAGUAACCUGCCCUUGACUUUGGGAUAACUUCAGGAAACUGGGGGUAAUACCGGAUAGGAGCUCCUGCUGCAUGGUGGGGGUUGGAAAGUUUCGGCGGUUGGGGAUGGACUCGCGGCUUAUCAGCUUGUUGGUGGGGUAGUGGCUUACCAAGGCUUUGACGGGUAGCCGGCCUGAGAGGGUGACCGGCCACAUUGGGACUGAGAUACGGCCCAGACUCCUACGGGAGGCAGCAGUGGGGAAUAUUGCACAAUGGGCGGAAGCCUGAUGCAGCAACGCCGCGUGCGGGAUGACGGCUUUCGGGUUGUAAACCGCUUUCGCCUGUGACGAAGCGUGAGUGACGGUAAUGGGUAAAGAAGCACCGGCUAACUACGUG